rnacentral:tRNA from 1 species
GACUUAAAUAGUUGUCUGAUUGCAAGUCAGACUUUGGGCUUAGAAAAGUUCUUAAGUCU